rnacentral:rRNA from 1 species
GGGGAAUAUUGCACAAUGGGCGCAAGCCUGAUGCAGCCAUGCCGCGUGUGUGAAGAAGGCCUUCGGGUUGUAAAGCACUUUCAGCGGGGAGGAAGGCGGUGAGGUUAAUAACCUUGUCGAUUGACGUUACCCGCAGAAGAAGCACCGGCUAACUCCGUGCCAGCAGCCGCGGUAAUACGGAGGGGGCAAGCGUUAAUCGGAAUUACUGGGCGUAAAGCGCACGCAGGCGGUCUGUCAAGUCGGAUGUGAAAUCCCCGGGCUCAACCUGGGAACUGCAUUCGAAACUGGCAGGCUAGAGUCUUGUAGAGGGGGGUAGAAUUCCAGGUGUAGCGGUGAAAUGCGUAGAGAUCUGGAGGAAUACCGGUGGCGAAGGCGGCCCCCAGGACAAAGACUGACGCUGAGGUGCGAAAGCGUGGGGAGCAAAC